AUUGAACGCUGGCGGCAUGCCUUACACAUGCAAGUCGAACGGUAACAGGUCUUCGGAUGCUGACGAGUGGCGAACGGGUGAGUAAUACAUCGGAACGUGCCCGAUCGUGGGGGAUAACGAAGCGAAAGCUUUGCUAAUACCGCAUAAGAUCUACGGAUGAAAGCAGGGGACCGCAAGGCCUUGCGCGAACGGAGCGGCCGAUGGCAGAUUAGGUAGGUGGUGGGAUAAGAGCUUACCAAGCCGACGAUCUGUAGCUGGUCUGAGAGGACGACCAGCAACAAGGGAACUGAGACACGGCCCAGACUCCUACGGGAGGCAGCAGUGGGGAAUUUUGGACAAUGGGCGAAAGCCUGAUCCAGCCAUGCCGCGUGCAGGAUGAAGGCCUUCGGGUUGUAAACUGCUUUUGUACGGAACGAAAAGACUCUUUCUAAUAAAGAGGGUCCAUGACGGUACCGUAAGAAUAAGCACCGGCUAACUACGUGCCAGCCGCCGCCGUAA
rnacentral:rRNA from 1 species